rnacentral:rRNA from 1 species
GGGUUGUGAGGUUAAGCGACUAAGCGUACACGGUGGAUGCCCUGGCAGUCAGAGGCGAUGAAGGACGUGCUAAUCUGCGAUAAGCGUCGGUAAGGUGAUAUGAACCGUUAUAACCGGCGAUUUCCGAAUGGGGAAACCCAGUGUGAUUUGUCACACUAUCAUUAACUGAAUCCAUAGGUUAAUGAGGCGAACCGGGGGAACUGAAACAUCUAAGUACCCCGAGGAAAAGAAAUCAACCGAGAUUCCCCCAGUAGCGGCGAGCGAACGGGNAGGAGCCNAGAGCCUGAAUCAGUGUGUGUGUUAGUGGAAGCGUCUGGAAAGGCGCGCGAUACAGGGUGACAGCCCCGUACACAAAAAUGCACAUGCUGUGAGCUCGAUGAGUAGGGCGGGACACGUGGUAUCCUGUCUGAAUAUGGGGGGACCAUCCUCCAAGGCUAAAUACUCCUGACUGACCGAUAGUGAACCAGUACCGUGAGGGAAAGGCGAAAAGAACCCCGGCGAGGGGAGUGAAAAAGAACCUGAAACCGUGUACGUACAAGCAGUGGGAGCCUCUUUAUGGGGUGACUGCGUACCUUUUGUAUAAUGGGUCAGCGACUUAUAUUCUGUAGCAAGGUUAACCGAAUAGGGGAGCCGAAGGGAAACCGAGUCUUAACUGGGCGUUAAGUUGCAGGGUAUAGACCCGAAACCCGGUGAUCUAGCCAUGGGCAGGUUGAAGGUUGGGUAACACUAAGCUGGAGG